CAUGUUGUCAGUGAGGAGUUGCAACUUCUCCCAAUGAAUAGACAGCUUUUGUCGGGGUGCCUCGGUUACUACAACAUCCCAAAAACAUACUGUCUGGUCAACUGCCUACUGUAAACCAGCCCUUUAAUGAUUUUCAUACAAUAGCUUGAAUUUUAGUCUGGGAAUUUCUCAUGUGGCUUGACAACACAGCUGUAGCGGUGGAAAACAUCUGUCAACUUCUGGUAACAGGACAUAAUGGAGGAAAGCCAAAAAAAGACAAAAGGUG